rnacentral:rRNA from 1 species
UGUGGUUCAAUUCGAUGCUACACGUAGAACCUUACCUGGGUUUGACAUGUACGUGGUAGAGAAGCGAAAGCGGAUUGACCCUUCGGGGAGCGUACACAGGUGCUGCAUGUCUGUCGUCAGCUCGUGCCGUGAGGUGUCGGGUUAAGUCCCGUAACGAGCGCAACCCUUAUCCUUAGUUGCACGUAUCUAGGGAGACUGCCGGCGGGUAGCCGGAGGAAGGUGGGGAUGACGUCAAGUCAGCAUGGCCCUUAUGUCCAGGGCUACACACACGCUACAAUGGCCGGUACAAAGGGCAGCAAAGUCGCGAGGCGGAGCGAAUCCCAACAAAGCCGCUCGUAGUUCGGAUUGCAGGCUGCAACUCGCCUGCAUGAAGCUGGAGUUGCUAGUAACCGCGCGUCAGCUAUAGUGCCCCGAAUACGUACCCGGGUCUUGUACACACCGCCCGUCACGUCAUGGAAGUCGGUAACGCCUGAAGGCGGUAGCAUAGCUCGGAAGAGGGGGCGCUGUCGAAGGCGGGAC